rnacentral:rRNA from 1 species
AUGGCGAAAUGCUGCCUUCUGCCCCUGCCCAUGCUCUUCCUGGCCCUGUCCGCGCUUCUCUUGCCGGCCGGGGCGGCGGCGGCGGCCUGCCACCCGGACGACCUCCGCGCGCUGCGGGCCUUCGCCGGGAACCUCACCGCCGGAGGGGACCUUCUCCUCCGCGCCGCGUGGUCCGGUCGCGGCGGCUCCUGCUGCGCCUGGGAAGGCGUGCGCUGCGACGGCGCCGGCGGCCGCGUCACGGCGCUUCGGCUCCCCGGGCGGGGGCUCGCGGGGCCCAUCCCGGGGGACGCCCUUGCCGGCCUCCCGCGGCUCGCGGAGCUCGACCUCAGCCGCAACGCGCUCUCCGGCGGCGUAUCCGCCGUCGCGGGCCUCGCCGGCCUCCGAGCCGCCGACCUCUCCGCGAAUCUGCUCGUCGACUCGAUCCCCGACCUCUCCGCGCUCCCGGGUCUGGUUGCCUUCAAUGCCAGCAAUAACUCUCUCUCCGGCGCGCUCGGGCCCGACCUAUGCGCCGGCGCGCCGGCCCUGCGGGUGCUCGACCUCUCCGCCAACCGCCUCACCGGCGCGCUCCCCUCGUCAGCCAACCCGCCGGCCUGCGCCGCCACGCUCCAGGAGCUCUUCCUCGGCGCCAACUCCUUUGCCGGCGCCCUCCCUGCCGCGCUCUUCGGCCUCGCCGGACUGCACAAGCUCUCCCUCGCCUCCAAUGGGCUCGCCGGCCAGGUGAGCUCGCGCCUCCGCGAGCUAAAAAACCUCACCCUGCUGGAUUUAUCCGUGAACCGCUUAUCUGGCCGGCUCCCGGACGUGUUCCGCGACCUAACGUCGCUGGAGCAUUUCACUGCCCACUCCAAUGACUUCUCAGGGUUGCUACCGCCGUCGCUGUCGUCGCUGUCGUCCCUACGCGACCUCAACCUCCGGAACAACUCCCUGUCCGGUCCGAUUGCUCAUGUCAACUUCUCUGGUAUGCCAGUGCUUGUUUCUGUUGACCUCGCAACAAACCACCUGAAUGGAACACUACCAGUUAGCUUGGCAGAUUGCGAUAAGCUCAAGUCGCUCAGCCUUGCCAGGAACAAAUUGAUGGGGCAAUUGCCUGAGGAUUACGGCCGUCUCAGGUCGCUCUCCAUGCUGUCCUUGUCCAACAACAGCUUGCACAACAUCUCAGGGGCGCUUACUGUGCUGCGCCGGUGUGAAAACCUCACCACACUGAUUCUCACCAAGAAUUUUGGUGGUGAGGAGCUGCCUGAAAAUGGCAAUGGGGGGUUCAACAGCCUGGAGGUGUUGGCUCUUGGCGAUUGUGCUCUAAGGGGGAGGGUUCCGGAAUGGCUGGCUCAGUGCGAGAAAUUGGAGGUGCUUGAUUUGUCCUGGAACCAAUUGGUUGGCACCAUCCCGUCGUGGAUUGGUGAGCUUGACCACUUGAGCUACUUGGAUCUCUCAAACAAUUCAUUGGUUGGCGAGGUACCCAAGAGUUUGACACAGCUGAAGGGCCUUAUGACUGCCAGGAAUUCUCAGGGUAUGGCAUUCACUAGCAUGCCAUUGUAUGUGAAGCAUAACAGGAGCACAAGCGGACGGCAAUAUAACCAGCUCUCGAAUUUCCCACCGUCGUUGUUCUUGAAUGACAAUGGUCUGAAUGGGACCAUCUGGCCUGAGUUUGGAAAUUUGAAGGAGCUGCAUGUGAUGGAUCUGAGCAACAACUUCAUGUCUGGGAGCAUUCCUGAUGCACUCUCCAAGAUGGAGAAUUUGGAGGUUCUUGAUCUGUCAUCCAAUAAUCUCACUGGAUCGAUUCCGUCGUCCCUGACAGAUCUCACUUUCUUGUCUAAGUUCAGUGUGGCUCACAAUCAUCUGGUUGGGCCGAUCCCCAAUGGGGGGCAGUUCUUCACUUUCACAAACUCCAGUUUUGAGGGCAACCCUGGUUUAUGCAGGUCAGUUUCCUGUAGCCUAAAUCAGUCUGGGGAAACAAAUGUUAACAAUGAAAUACAGCCUGCAACAAGCAUCAGGAACAGGAAAAACAAAAUACUUGGAGUGGCAGUCUGCAUGGGGUUGGCACUUGCAGUAGUUUUGUGUGUUAUUUUGGUUAACAUUUCCAAAACGGAGGCCAGUGCUAUCGAUGAAGAAGACGACGCUGGGGGCGCUUGUCAUGAUUCAUAUUAUUCCUACUCAAAGCCAGUGCUGUUCUUUCAGAAUUCUGCCAAGGAGCUAACUGUUAGUGACCUCAUUAGGUCGACUGACAACUUUGAUCAAGCCAACAUUAUAGGGUGUGGUGGAUUUGGUCUCGUGUACAAGGCCUACCUCCCAGACGGAACAAAAGCGGCAGUGAAGCGACUUUCUGGUGAUUGUGGGCAGAUGGAGAGGGAGUUCCGUGCCGAGGUGGAAGCGCUGUCCCAGGCUCAGCACAAGAAUCUUGUAACGCUGAGAGGCUACUGCCGCCAUGGAAGUGAUAGGUUGCUCAUCUACACAUACAUGGAGAACAGUAGCCUGGACUACUGGCUGCACGAGAGAGCGGAUGGCGAUUACAUGCUGAAAUGGGAGUCAAGGCUCAAAAUUGCUCAGGGUUCAGCCAGGGGAUUAGCUUACUUGCACAAGGACUGCGAGCCGAACAUCAUCCACCGAGACGUGAAGUCAAGCAACAUUCUUCUGAACGAGAACUUUGAGGCGCACCUGGCUGAUUUCGGGCUAGCAAGGCUAAUACAGCCCUAUGACACUCAUGUGACUACUGACCUAGUUGGCACCUUGGGUUACAUACCACCUGAGUACAGCCAGUCACUGAUCGCCACCCCGAAAGGGGACGUCUACAGCUUCGGUGUCGUCUUGCUGGAGCUUCUCACUGGUAGACGGCCCGUGGAAGUGUCGAAAGUCAAGGGAUCCAGGGACUUGGUCUCCUGGGCACUCCAGAUGAAAUCUGAGAACAAGGAAGAGCAGAUUUUCGACAGGCUGAUUUGGAGCAAAGAGCAUGAGAAGCAGCUGCUGUCUGUUCUCGAAACGGCAUGCAGGUGCAUCAGCACUGACCCUCGGCAGCGUCCAUCCAUAGAGCAAGUCGUUGUUUGGCUCGACAGCGUGUCACCGUAA